AACGCACAUUGCGCCCGCCAGUAUUCUGGCGGGCAUGCCUGUCUGAGCGUCAUUUCAACCCUCGUGCCCCCGGGCGCGGUGUUGGGGAUCGGCCGCCACGGCCGUCCCCCAAAUGCAGUGGCGACCACGCCGCGAACUCCCCUGCGCAGUAACUUUAGCGAGCCUCGCAGGCGGAGGGCGGUGCGGUCCUGCCGUAAAACACCCCAACUUUCUCAAGGUUGACCUCAGAUCAGGUAGGAAUACCCGCUGAACUUAA
rnacentral:misc_RNA from 1 species